rnacentral:rRNA from 1 species
AAAGGUAAGCUACUAAGAGCGAAUGGUGGAUGCCUUGACUGGUAAAGGCGAUGAAGGACGUACUAGACUGCGAUAAGCUACGGGGAGCUGUCAAGAAGCUUUGAUCCGUAGAUUUCCGAAUGGGGCAACCCAAUGUAUAGAGAUAUGCAUUACCUAUAUAGGAGCGAACGAGGGGAAUUGAAACAUCUUAGUACCCUCAGGAAAAGAAAUCAAUAGAGAUUGCGUCAGUAGCGGCGAGCGAAAGCGCAAGAGGGCAAACCCAGUGCUUGCACUGGGGGUUGUAGGACUGCAAUGUGCAAGAGCUGAGUUUAGCAGAACAUUCUGGAAAGUAUAGCCAUAGAGGGUGAUAGUCCCGUAUGCGAAAAACAAAGCUUAGCUAGCAGUAUCCUGAGUAGGGCGGGACACGAGGAAUCCUGUCUGAAUCCGGGUCGACCACGAUCCAACCCUAAAUACUAAUACCAGAUCGAUAGUGCACAAGUACCGUGAGGGAAAGGUGAAAAGAACUGAGGUGAUCAGAGUGAAAUAGAACCUGAAACCAUUUGCUUACAAUCAUUCAGAGCACUAUGUAGCAAUACAG